rnacentral:rRNA from 1 species
UACGUAGGGCGCAAGCGUUGUCCGGAAUUAUUGGGCGUAAAGAGCUCGUAGGUGGUUUGUCGCGUCUGCCGUGAAAGCCCGGGCUUAACUCCGGGUCUGCGGUGGAUACGGGCAGACUAGAGGCAGGUAGGGGAGAACGGAAUUCCCGGUGUAGCGGUGAAAUGCGCAGAUAUCGGGAGGAACACCGGUGGCGAAGGCGGUUCUCUGGGACGGUACUGACGCUGAGACGCGAAAGCGUGGGGAGCGAACAGG